rnacentral:rRNA from 1 species
AUUGAACGCUGGCGGCAGGCCUAACACAUGCAAGUCGAGCGGCAGCGGGAAAGUAGCUUGCUACUUUUGCCGGCGAGCGGCGGACGGGUGAGUAAUGCCUGGGAAAUUGCCCAGUCGAGGGGGAUAACAGUUGGAAACGACUGCUAAUACCGCAUACGCCCUACGGGGGAAAGCAGGGGGCCUUCGGGCCUUGCGCGAUUGGAUAUGCCCGGGUGGGAUUAGCUAGUUGGUGAGGUAAUGGCUCACCAAGGCGACGAUCCCUAGCUGGUCUGGGAGGAUGAUCAGCCACACUGGAACUGAGACACGGGCCAGACUCCUACGGGAGGCAGCAGUGGGGAAUAUUGCACAAUGGGGGAAACCCUGAUGCAGCCAUGCCGCGUGUGUGAAGAAGGCCUUCGGGUUGUAAAGCACUUUCAGCGAGGAGGAAAGGUUGAUGCCUAAUACGUAUCAACUGUGACGUUACUCGCAGAAGAAGCACCGGCUAACUCCGUGCCAGCAGCCGCAGUAAGAC